GACGAUCAAUUGUAUUUUGCUUUUGUGCUAUAAUGCAUUGCUAAUUACUUGGGGAGACUAGGGAUAGUAAGCCAGUACUAGUAAUAGGCUCUUUUCACCGAGAGAUCGGGUUUAGGGUAGGCUAAGAAAGUUUGCAUGAUAAUUUGAUAAUAAAGUGAAUUUAAUAAGAAAAGUAGAUAUAUGAGAGUGAUUGGGUGAAAUCUGAACCCUAGCGACAAACCCAUCUCAUAUUAUCAACAUCAUCCAUCUACUUUUGUGUCUAACCUCAAUUGAUCAAAUUGCAUUCAUGUUUAUUUUUCCGUACUUUAUAUUCAAAAACCCCAAAAUAUUGUUCUUAUAGUCUUGAUUGGUUAAGCAAAAGCACCAUAGUUUAAUGCCAUGAGUCUCUUGGGAAAACGAUACUUGGACUUACCAUUUAUUAUUACUUGAUACGAUCUGGUACACUUGCCAGAGUGUUAACAACAAGCAAAACGGUGCAGAAAAAAACAAACCCUAAAUCCUACAUGCAAAACGGUGUAAAAAAGACCUUACACGUAAAACUGUGUAAAAAAACCCUAAACCCUAAACCCAAAACAAUAAAACCUACAUCCAAAACGGUGUAAAAAAAGAAAAAACCUUACACGUAAAACGAUGUAAAAAAAAUCUAAAACCUAAACCCUACAAACGAAACGGUGUAAAAAAAAGAAAAAAUCUUCCACGCAAAAGAGUGUAAAAAAAAC
rnacentral:lncRNA from 1 species